UACGGAGGGUGCAAGCGUUAUCCGGAUUCACUGGGUUUAAAGGGUGCGUAGGUGGGUUGGUAAGUCAGUGGUGAAAUCUCCAGGCUUAACUUGGAAACUGCCAUUGAUACUAUCACUCUUGAAUACCGUGGGAGGUCAGCGGAAUAUGUCAUGUAGCGGUGAAAUGCUUAGAUAUGACAUAGAACACCAAUUGCGAAGGCAGCUGGCUACACGAAUAUUGACACUGAUGCACGAAAGCGUGGGGAUCAAACAGG
rnacentral:rRNA from 1 species